rnacentral:rRNA from 1 species
CAGACUCCUACGGGAGGCAGCAGUGGGGGAUAUUGCACAAUGGAGGAAACUCUGAUGCAGCGACGCCGCGUGAGGGAAGACGGUCUUCGGAUUGUAAACCUCUGUCUUUGGGGAAGAAAAUGACGGUACCCAAAGAGGAAGCUCCGGCUAACUACGUGCCAGCAGCCGCGGUAAUACGUAGGGAGCGAGCGUUGUCCGGAAUUACUGGGUGUAAAGGGAGCGUAGGCGGGAGGAUAAGUUGAAUGUGAAAUCUAUGGGCUCAACCUAUAGCUGCGUUCAAAACUGUUCUUCUUGAGUGAAGUAGAGGCAGGCGGAAUUCCUAGUGUAGCGGUGAAAUGCGUAGAUAUUAGGAGGAACACCAGUGGCGAAGGCGGCCUGCUGGGCUUUUACUGACGCUGAGGCUCGAAAGCGUGGGUAGCAAACAGGAUUAGAUACCCUGGUAGA